rnacentral:lncRNA from 1 species
UAUUUUGAGUUCAUGUACAUAGUAUACUUAACUCGCCAGUGCGAGUAGCUCUGUAUUUUUUGGUAUUGGACUAUGUAUAUGGAACUCCGUUUGUUUAGCUUCUAUUUACUCUAGCAGCUCAAUACUACUGUUUGUAGUAUUGUAUGGUUUACAGGUACAGCUGUCGCUUCGUAUACAGGAAAAAUUUAUUUGUAUACGGCGGAUUUGUCGGCGUGCCCGGAGAACGUGUAAU